rnacentral:lncRNA from 1 species
GGCGAGGAGGGUAACUCCCGGGGUAGUAUUAGAGCUCACUUCACGUCGAACCCCCACGUGAAUGUGUAACUCGGCCAACGCCAAGGAACAACUUGUUUUAAAAAUAAAAAUGUGUUUCACGUGUGAAUAUCUUAACAACUUUGGCGGACUCGGUUAGAUGCCUCGGCCAAGGUAUCCCCGAGGAUUAGUUUUGGCUUGAGCCUUGUUUUUAAUAAAAGACAUAAGCCUUAACAACUAUUUUGGUAAAUUAUAAAUAUUUUAUGGUUUAUGGAAUAAAUUAAAAACCUU